rnacentral:lncRNA from 1 species
GUAACUAGCUGCUCUCCGGGGCGCGGGGACCGCGGCUCUACCCCACCCUUCCACGGGAGACGGAGAACCCUUAGGAGAAAUCUUGAGAGUGGACAGCAAUUGUGAAGAUCGCCAGAGAGUUCUGUGUUUUAUCACCGCCGAAAGCUCAGUGCCUUCCAAAUGAGGGAUCCCAUGGAACUUGAUGUGAUGUGAUAAUCGUGCCAAGACUCAG